GACGAACGCUGGCGGCGCGCCUAACACAUGCAAGUCGAACGAGCGAGAGAGAGCUUGCUUUCUCGAGCGAGUGGCGAACGGGUGAGUAACGCGUGAGGAACCUGCCUCAAAGAGGGGGACAACAGUUGGAAACGACUGCUAAUACCGCAUAAGCCCACGACCCGGCAUCGGGUAGAGGGAAAAGGAGCAAUCCGCUUUGAGAUGGCCUCGCGUCCGAUUAGCUAGUUGGUGAGGUAACGGCCCACCAAGGCGACGAUCGGUAGCCGGACUGAGAGGUUGAACGGCCACAUUGGGACUGAGACACGGCCCAGACUCCUACGGGAGGCAGCAGUGGGGAAUAUUGCACAAUGGGGGAAACCCUGAUGCAGCGACGCCGCGUGGAGGAAGAAGGUCUUCGGAUUGUAAACUCCUGUUGUUGAGGAAGAUAAUGACGGUACUCAACAAGGAAGUGACGGCUAACUACGUGCCAGCAGCCGCGGUAAAACGUAGGUCACAAGCGUUGUCCGGAAUUACUGGGUGUAAAGGGAGCGCAGGCGGGAAGGCAAGUUGGAAGUGAAAUCCAUGGGCUCAACCCAUGAACUGCUUUCAAAACUGUUUUUCUUGAGUAGUGCAGAGGUAGGCGGAAUUCCCGGUGUAGCGGUGGAAUGCGUAGAUAUCGGGAGGAACACCAGUGGCGAAGGCGGCCUACUGGGCACCAACUGACGCUGAGGCUCGAAAGUGUGGGUAGCAAACAGGAUUAGAUACCCUGGUAGUCCACACUGUAAACGAAGAUUAUUAGGUGUGGGAGGAUUGACCCCUUCAGUGCCGCAGUUAACACAAUAAGUAAUCCACCUGGGGAGUACGACCGCAAGGUUGAAACUCAAAGGAAUAGACGGGGGCCCGCACAAGCAGUGGAGUAUGUGGUUUAAUUCGACGCAACGCGAAGAACCUUACCAAGUCUUGACAUCCUGCGACGGUUCUGGAAACAGAACUUUCCUUCGGGACGCAGAGACAGGUGGUGCAUGGUUGUCGUCAGCUCGUGUCGUGAGAUGUUGGGUUAAGUCCCGCAACGAGCGCAACCCUUAUGGUCAGUUACUACGCAAGAGGACUCUGGCCAGACUGCCGUUGACAAAACGGAGGAAGGUGGGGAGGACGUCAAAUCAUCAUGCCCUUUAUGACUUGGGCUACACACGUACUACAAUGGUGUUAAACAAAGAGAGG
rnacentral:rRNA from 1 species